rnacentral:misc_RNA from 1 species
GGGCAAUGCCACACUUCACGUAAGAGUUGUGCAAUAUCUGAAAAACUGGACCAUUACCAACACCAUGGAUUCCGAGAGAAUGCAGGAUGUGUGGAGCAUGCGAUCCGCAGCAGAGCGCCACGAGCGUCCAGGCGAACACGACUCGCCCCCGGCUCUGCGCAAGCAGAACCUCCUUCCGCGCCGCCAUCUCCUUCCACUUCUUCACAUUCUCUCCAACCCCUUCCCCCGACACCCUCGGCUUCGAGGGGAACCCGCACUCA